AGAGAUCUAGUGGAACUAAAGUUCAGGGAAUUGUGGGGAAGUAUUUCUAUGUGGCCACCUAGCUCUAUAUAAGGUUAGCCUUUUUAUAAAGAGGACUGUUCAUGAGGACCUAGUGCAAGGCAUACAGUUGCUGAAACUGGUGUUUUUGUAGUUGCUGAGAUACUUUUUGGUGAUCGCUACAAUAUUCCUGAAACAGACAGAAGCCAAGCAGCCUUUUCUGUACCUUUUGGUACUGCUGUGAAGAGGUGGAGUAUUUUGUUCCUAACUGUAGUGCUGCUCCAGCACCCCCAACCAUGGGAGGCAAACUUGGCAAGAAGGGGAUCAGGGUAACUGAAGAGAGAGCUGAAGAUCGUAAGGAUGAGGGAGAAGUUGCAGAAGUGACACCAAAAGAUACAGGCGAGGCCCAGCCUGCAGCAGGGUUUACAGACCUAGAGAGUGGCAAAGAGUCCACGACUGAAGACAAGGAAAGCAGGGGAGACUCUACAGAGUGCAAGGAAUCGGAGGCAAGUAUGGAUGCAAAACCAGAGGUGCAGCAGCACACUGAAGAGGAACUGGUGGCUUCUGCUGCUUGCCGUGAGGCUGAUCUACCCCUUCCUCAGGAAGUCACUUUUGCUAAAGUAGAGGAGAGCAGAGAUCAAAUCAAGGCUGAAGAGAGCAACUUCUGAAGCCCAAGGAAUCAAGUGUGGCGAGACUCCAGCUUCAGGCAAGAUUUGUUAGAAAUAACAGCUUUCCCUCCCGCCCCCCAUCACAGAUCCUGUAACCAAAGUAUUUGACUUCAUUCCUGUAGCCUUGGGGCCUGCAAUCCAGCAGAACUCGAUCCAUUUGAGAAACUCGCUGUAGCAGAACCAGAGUGAAAUGCACAGCUGGAGUUCUAACACUAAAAAAUCUGUUUAUGAGCUGUAUUUUGUGCGUUCAUAGUUUUGACCUCCAGCCACAUGUCUUCCCACUGCACAGGACAUUCUCCUUGGGGAAAGGCAUUAAGGUAACUCAUGGCAUACAAGGCAGUCUGUUAACUGUAUAAAUGAAGUCCCAGCUUAACCUACAGCUUCCCUGGCAUUCAAGCUGCUGAGAAUGUACUUCUGUUGUGAUUGGGGGGGUUGGAACAAUGCACUUGAAUCUACCCUUUGAGAUGAUCCCAUUAAUAUUAAACAGAAAUCUGAUGGGGAUUGUAGCAUUAUGUUAAGACUAAUGUAAACCAGUGGCUGACUGGGGAGGGGGUUUCUUUAGUGAACCUCACUUAAAUAAGCUAAUUUUCCUUUUGUAAACCAACAUCAUGCAAACUUUCUUUGCAGUGUUUCCAUGAGUUAGCAUGUAGCUGUGCUCGACUGAAUCUACAGUCUUUCUGUUAACGGGUCUGUUCAUGACAAUUUGGCUCUAGUUUCUGGGACUUAAAUGGUCUAUCACUGUGUCUAAUGUACAAUGGGUGUAUUGAAGCUAUGCAACUGUAAAUAAUGCAACCAAACACUGUAUUCCCUGCAUGUGUGUGUGGAGUAAUGGGGCAUGGAAUCAUAAGAUUACCUGUCUUAAUUUAACUGCCAAUAAAGACUAUUUUAUGAUUGCUGCAAUGUA